rnacentral:rRNA from 1 species
AUUGAACGCUGGCGGCAGGCCUAACACAUGCAAGUCGAACGGUAACACAGAGAGCUUGCUCUCGGGUGACGAGUGGCGGACGGGUGAGUAAUGUCUGGGAAACUGCCUGAUGGGAGGGGGAUAACUACUGGAAACGGUAACUAAUACCGCAUAAUGUCGCAAGACCAAAGAGGGGGACCUUAGGGCCUCUUGCCAUCAGAUGUGCCCAGAUGGGAUUAGCUAGG